rnacentral:rRNA from 1 species
CCUACGGGUGGCAGCAGUGGGGAAUAUUGCGCAAUGGGGGAAACCCUGACGCAGCCACGCCGCGUGUGUGAUGAAGGCCUUCGGGUUGUAAAGCACUGUCGAGGGGGAAGAAGAAUGACGGUACCCCUCAAGAAAGCACCGGCUAACCCUGUGCCAGCAGCCGCGGUAAUACAGGGGGUGCAAGCGUUGCUCGGAAUCACUGGGCGUAAAGCGUACGCAGGCGGACCAUUAAGUUGGGCGUGAAAGCCCGGGGCUCAACCCCGGAAAUGCGCUCAAAACUGGUGGUCUUGAGUACGGGAGAGGUGAGUGGAAUUCCUGGUGUAGAGGUGAAAUUCGUAGAUAUCAGGAGGAACAUCGGUGGCGAAAGCGGCUCACUGGCCCGAUACUGACGCUCAUGUACGAAAGCGUGGGGAGCAAACAGGAUUAGAUACCCCUGUAGUC